UUACUACUUGGAUAACCGUGGUAAUUCUAGAGCUAAUACAUGCUGAAAAUCCCGACUGCGGAAGGGAUGUAUUUAUUAGAUUAAAAAACCAAUGCCCUCUGGGCUCUCUGGUGAUUCAUGAUAACUGCGCGAAUCGCAUGUGGCCUUGCGCCGGCGAUGGUUCAUUCAAAUUUCUUCCCUAUCAACUUUCGAUGUUUGGGUAGUGACCAAACAUGGUUGCAACGGGUAACGGAGGGUUAGGGCUCGGCCCCGGAGAAGGAGCCUGAGAAACGGCUACUACAUCCAAGGAAGGCAGCAGGCGCGCAAAUUACCCAAUCCCGACACGGGGAGGUAGUGACGAUAAAUACUGAUACAGGGCUCUUUUGGGUCUUGUAAUUGGCAUGAGUACAAUUUAAAUCCCUUAACGAGGAACAAUUGGAGGGCAAGUCUGGUGAACACGUUGCUGGUGCCAGAGAGAGCCGCCCCUCCGUAAACCGGUGCGGCUAGUCGAGUGCUCGCGUCAGUGGCGGGUGAGCACCGGCGAGACAACCUGGGUCGGGGAAGGCUAAGGGCCCCUCGGGGCCUAUGCUGAUCCCGAGCAGAGCCGUGCUGCGCAGCCGGCCUGUGUAGAGCGCGCCAAGGUGUCGGUCCGGGGGGGUCGCCUCCCCCGGGCUUGAGGUACGUGCCAAUCCCCUGCGAAAGCAGGGCCCUGCGGACGGAGCACCCGUCAUGCGAAGCCGCCGGGGGGGCAGGCGGCCCCGCCGGGGCCCCUGCCGUGAGCCACAGUGGCCAGCAGCCGCGGUAAUUCCAGCUCCAAUAGCGUAUAUUAAAGUUGUUGUGGUUAAAAAGCUCGUAGUUGAACCUUGGGCCUGGCCGGCCGGUCCCGCCUCACCGCGUGCACUGGUCCGGCCGGGCCUUUCCCCCCGCGGAACCCCAUGCCCUUCACUGGGCGUGGCGGGGAAACGGGACUUUUACUUUGAAAAAAAUAGAGUGCUCCAGGCAGGCCUAUGCUCGAAUACAUUAGCAUGGAAUAAUGAAAUAGGACGUGCGGUUCUAUUUUGUUGGUUCUAGGACCGCCGUAAUGAUUAAUAGGGACAGUCGGGGGCAUCAGUAUUCAAUUGUCAGAGGUGAAAUUCUUGGAUUUAUUGAAGACUAGCUACUGCGAAAGCAUUUGCCAAGGAUGUUUUCAUUAAUCAGGAACGAAAGUUAGGGGAUCGAAGACGAUCAGAUACCGUCGUAGUCUUAACCAUAAACUAUGCCGACUAGGGAUCGGACGAUGUUAUCUUUUGACUCGUUCGGCACCUUACGAGAAAUCAAAG
rnacentral:rRNA from 1 species